UGUCCCUGCGUCUGUGUAAGUGUUUGCGCGUGUGCUUGAGUGCGUGCACGUGGCCGCUUCAUCGCCGUUGCAUGCUCACAGAUUUCUUCUGGCGGAGCACCUCAUACGAAUCCACCACCGUCUUGCUGCGCGCUCUUUCCUCGCUCUUCGCCGCGCGUGUGUGCCGCUUCCGUCAGCCAAAAUCCUGCCGCACCAUCAAAGCAGUGGAAAGGACAAUGUUGCACAUCACGGCGGCUCGACACGCGCAGCUCUUCAGGCUGACGCAGCGCAGGUUGCAGUCCGGCACCUUCACGGCGUGCCCGUACCAUCAGGCCAAGGAGGGAUCUGCCACGGUCAUGGCGCAAGGGGCAAUGGAGCACUGCCCCGUGGUGGGCACAACGCCGCACAUGGGUUGCCCCGUGGAGGCGAGUCUGUGCGACCGCCGGCCGCCGACCAUGUUGGCAAUGGUGUCGCAGAUGGGCAAGUCGCAGCUCUCCGCCUACGUGGCUGCCACGGCGUUGGCGGGAUACGUGAUUGCCGGUGGCACCGCUCCCUUAGUCGCGGCUGCCGUCACUACCGGCACAAUGUUGCAGUCCUGCUCCGCCAACACGGCGAACCAGAUCAUCGAGGCACCGUAUGAUAAGUUAAUGAAGCGCACCUGCCGUCGACCUCUCCCGAUGAAGUUCCUCUCACCCCAGGCAGCUACGGCCAUCUCCGGCAUGGAGCUGACCCUCGGCACUGGGCUGCUGUACUGCGUCAGCCCACCGGCGGCGGCCUUGGGCGUCUUCAACUGGUUCUUGUACGUCUGCAUUUACACCCCGCUGAAGCGCGUCUCCGCCCUCAACACGUGGUUCGGCUCUAUCGUAGGAGGUGUGCCCCCGCUCAUGGGAGGCUUUGCCGUCGCCGGUAUCAUCACGCCGUCGGUGUGGCUGCUGGCGACGUUCCUGUUUGUGUGGCAAAUUCCGCACUUCAACGGGCUCGCCUUCCACUGCCGGCGCGACUACGAGGCGGCCGGCUACAAGAUGCUAGCCUUCUACAAUCCCUGGCGCGCGUCCUUCUACGCUGUUGCCCUCUCCGUUAUGAUGGCCUUCCUCACUCUCGUCUGCCCGACGCUCGCCGGCAUGGAGGUGGAGGGGGUGUGGUACUACUCGGUGACGGCCGCCGCCAACGCGCUCAUGAUCUACAAGUCGCUCCUCUUUCACAACGAGCCGGUGCGCCACUGCCGCGGCUGCUUCGUCUUCUCGUAUGUGUACCUCAGCGUGGUCCUCGCGGCGAUCAUGCUAAACCACAUUCAGCCGAUGCACCUCGCGCAGCGCGCCAUAGACUAUGUGGCUGCGGAGGCAACCGAGGCGUCUGCAACGUCGUCGGCGGUAGUGUCCACCGCCGAGACGUAGUUCGUCAUCGCAAACGAAUGCGCAGACUUGGUUGUGCCUCGCGCACCCUCGAAAGGGAUCUCUUGCAAGUGAACAGGCGCACGCACGCUCCCCUUCUACCCCUCGCAUUGCCACUUAUGCGCAUAUCGGCAACCGUGCGGGCGGGGCCGGGCGCCGGCUUCGAUACCGCUCUGGUCCAGCCUGCACAUGUUUCUAGGAAAUCAUCCGUAGCACGCAAACAACGCUCCCGCACGCAUGCCCGAAAGAAUGACGACUUUGGCUCGCCACUGUGCCGUUUCGCACGCCAACGCCGUCGCCUUCCUUCCAUAUGCACCUUACCCAAUCCUUGAGGACGCGUUGGCGAUCACUGAAGUCUACUGGGCUAGGAAAUGGCAGCGUUGCUCCUACUGCGUCUUUACACGAACUACAGCGAAGACGUGGCGGUGGUGGUGGAUUAGAGGCCUGGCGGCGCGGCACCUGCUCGGCUUUGCCCCCCCCCCCCCCCCCCCCCGGUGUGCCAUUGACCACAGUAGCAGACAGGCAGCGAGGGACGUUGCCUGCCCCUUUUCCGUUCGUUACAGUACCGUCAUAGCAUCACAUAGCAAAAUUAUCUAACUUACUCUUCUUACGGUGAUUUGCUCUUCUUUCCGUCUGUGUGUCGUGCUCUGCCGUCUCUCCCUCCCUCGUUUGUGCGGAUGAGCUCGGAUGGACUACACAUCCCGCUCCCUUCCCCACGCCCGCUUGGUGGCUCUCACGUUCUCCAGGAUGAGGGCAUUGCGGACGCCACCACAAUUUCGUUUGCCUUCCUCAGUCGUUUGUUCGCUUCCUUCUCGUUGCUCUACUCGGCGUGUGACGGACAUGCGCAUCCGCUUACGCGCGCGCAACGGUCAUGUUGCGGGGGGUUUUCGCUCUGUCUGAUUUCUCGACUUUCCCUGCAGCCUCUGAUUUAGACACUGCACAAACAGAUAAGGGCACGUGUGUGCUCUCGUUUACGGCGUAGGACUCGUGCGCGUGUGCGUCGCGCUCGUUGCGUCGUCGGAUGCGUAUGAUUAUGUGUUAAGGAAAACAUCUAAGCCACUGUUUGCAUCGGUUUGCCGUUGCCGCUUGCUGCGAAUACGCGUACUCACACCUUCGCGCGCUACGCACUCGCUGACCUUGUAGAAAGGCAGGCAGAACCGGAAAAAAAUGAGAGAGAGAGUACAUGCAAGGGCCGUGAUGCGGAAGCUCCCCAGGACUGCAUUCCCUGCCCACCAUUUCAAGGCUGCGUCUCUCUCUCUCUCUCGCUUAUUCACUCUGUGCGCGCAUGUGGGGAGGGGGCGCCUCUGGUACGCUGCAGUCAGAGGGCGGUAGGGGUGAGUUGUGGAGGGAGCGUCGACUUGUGCGUUGCUUCUCCACCCUUUUCUCGCCUUCUCUGCAGCGAAAGGCGAUACGGAAGAGUGAGGAGCUGUACGAACUCGCCGCAUGAGAGCCGAGCGUUUCUCACAAAUGUUUUUUCUGCCUUUAUAAAGGGCGGCAAUAGGCGGGAAAGCACUGACGGCAGGCUGGGGAAGCGGAGGGGAGCGGGAGGGGGGGGCGUAUGGGGCCGGGUUGGACUGCUGAGCGCUGCUGUGUGCAUGUCUGCCCCUCUUCUCUCCUUCCCUCUCACUGAGUCUGCCCGUUUGUUGCAACCAUACCCACGCGCCUCUUUGUUUCCCCAUUCUUUCCCCUGUGCGUUCACCUUUGCCGGCCAUCAUUCCUGCGAUUUAAGCACGUGCAUGCGCGUGACUGUGUAAGCAGAGGGGAGAGGGGAGGCACCGGCGCCGUUCUUCUCUACUCCUCCGUGCUGCGCCUUUGUUUUUCUCCGUUUUGCCUGGGCUCCUGAUGAUGCUGAUAAUAGUAGUGGUUGGGCGGAGCCGCCUCAAUCCCGCUAUUCAUCUUGCUUUGCGUUGAUAGAUGGGUGGCGCGUGUGUGCGCCUCUCCUCUCUGUUCGUUGAUCAUGUUGUGUUCUCUAUUCACGUUUCUCAUCUGUUUUUGUGCGCAGCUCCGCCCCUCUGUCCUUCCCUCCUUCUCUCGCCACCAUCUCGCGGUGCGUGCGGAUGUGCGAGUGUGGGGGGCGUGCCGGUGUGCCUGUUUGAGACAUGUCUCAUCGUCGUCAUUAGUAUUUGACGAAGUGUUGC
rnacentral:misc_RNA from 1 species